rnacentral:rRNA from 1 species
CCUACGGGAGGCAGCAGUGAGGAAUAUUGGUCAAUGGACGAGAGUCUGAACCAGCCAAGUAGCGUGAAGGAUGACUGCCCUAUGGGUUGUAAACUUCUUUUAUAUGGGAAUAAAACGUUCCACGUGUGGGAUUUUGUAUGUACCAUAUGAAUAAGGAUCGGCUAACUCCGUGCCAGCAGCCGCGGUGAUACGGAGGAUCCGAGCGUUAUCCGGAUUUAUUGGGUUUAAAGGGAGCGUAGGUGGAUUGUUAAGUCAGUUGUGAAAGUUUGCGGCUCAACCGUAAAAUUGCAGUUGAAACUGGCAGUCUUGAGUACAGUAGAGGUGGGCGGAAUUCGUGGUGUAGCGGUGAAAUGCUUAGAUAUCACGAAGAACUCCGAUUGCGAAGGCAGUUCACUGGACUGCAACUGACACUGAGGCUCGAAAGUGUGGGUAUCAAACAGGAUUAGAUACCCUAGUAGUC